GGUGGCCGGGCGGGAUGUAACCGGCUGCUGAGCUGGCAGUUCUGUGUCGCUAGGCUUCUGCCCGGCCGCCGCCGCACAUAAGCCACGAGGAGGAGCUUUACGACUUCCCGGUCUUCGGCGCCGGGCGCAGCAAGGGCCAGACUCUGCGCUAGCAGGCGCUGCGCGCCAACCGGCCGGCACCUGUCGCAGAAGGUGCAACCGAUCGCACUGUCGCGCAGAAGCUCCUCAAUGGCCAGCGCCAGCUGCAGCCCCGGCCGCCCACUCGCCUCAUCUGAGCCUGGCAGAAGGUAAGCAUGAGCAAAUUACUUUUUAGAGGUAACUUUGCUGAACUUGUGAAGAAUGGUGUGCAAGGUCCAGAGCGACUGCAGGAGAGGGAAGGUGGGAUUCCCACAGAGCAGGAGCACAGAUAAGCCAAGCAAGGCCCUGCUUGGAAGGCAGCAAUCAACAGAGAUGCACAGACCUGUGAGGGUGCCGGGACAGCCAUGCAACAAUGCAGCCCUUUUGCUUCCUGAGCUCACCAGUUCCCUCGCUCCACCUCUGAGAGGUGGUUUGGAGAAACACAGCCCUUCUCAAGAGGGCUGCAAGCUACUUAAGUCCUGAAAAUUUCCACAAGGCUGAGUCAAAUCUGCGUUUCAUCAUCUAUAAGAAAGGUACCUAUCGAGAACACCCUGCUGGCCAGUGUGUAAAUAUCUAAAGGAGGACUCAGAAAACACCGGGGAAGUCCAGCCUGCACGUGGUGGCUGGGCUUCAGUGAAGCAUGCAGCACAACAGGAGUUAUAGGUCCCACCUCCAGCCUUCCCCUGCUGCCAUCUAACAUCCUAAACUCCAGCUCUGAAUGUCUGUCUCCUGCUCUGAAUCUUCAGUGACUUCGAAACUCAAGUCAGGACACCUCUCAGUUUGGCCUCACUGCUCAAGAUUGAGCUGAAUUCAUGACCAUAAUUCAAGCAUUCAGAUUCAUGGGCUGUUUUGUGGGUUUUGCUAUCUCUUAUUUUGUUUUUGCACAUCUUACCCACUGAAACGUUGGGCUGCAAAAAGUUUGAUCACUAAAUAUGUAGGCAAUGCUGGAUACUGGGCUGUUAUUUACAUAUUUGUAUCACCUUUUAUUUCAUAAGAUAGCAUUGUCAGAGUAAUUUAGUAUUUCAACAUAAUCAACAAGUAAAAUAAAAUUAAUGAGAA
ensembl:lncRNA LINC01409 long intergenic non-protein coding RNA 1409